rnacentral:rRNA from 1 species
CCUACGGGAGGCUGCAGUGAGGAAUAUUGGUCAAUGGACGCGAGCCUGAACCAGCCAAGUAGCGUGAAGGAUGACUGCCCUACGGGUUGUAAACUUCUUUUAUACAGGAAUAAACUGAGGCACGUGUGCCUUUUUGUAUGUACUUUAUGAAUAAGGAUCGGCUAACUCCGUGCCAGCAGCCGCGGUAAUACGGAGGGUCCGAGCGUUAUCCGGAUUUAUUGGGUUUAAAGGGAGCGUAGAUGGGUUGUUAAGUCAGUUGUGAAAGGUUGCGGCUCAACCGUAAAAUUGCAAUUGAUACUGGCAGGAUUGAGGACAGUUGAGGUAGGCGGAAUUCGUGGUGUAGCGGUGAAAUGCUUAGAUAUCACGAAGAACUCCGAUUGCGAAGGCAGCUUACUAAACUGCCACUGACAUUGAGGCUCGAAAGUGUGGGUAUCAAACAGGAUUAGAUACCCUGGUAGUC